rnacentral:rRNA from 1 species
UACGAAGGGGGCUAGCGUUGCUCGGAAUGACUGGGCGUAAAGGGCGCGUAGACGGUUUGUACAGUCAGGUGUGAAAUUCCCGGGCUCAACCUGGGGGCUGCACUUGAUACGUAUGGACUGGAGUGGGGAAGAGGGUCGUGGAAUUCCCAGUGUAGAGGUGAAAUUCGUAGAUAUUGGGAAGAACACCGGUGGCGAAGGCGGCGACCUGGUCCUUGACUGACGCUGAGGCGCGAAAGCGUGGGGAGCAAACAGG